GGCCUCGUAGCUCAGUUGGCUAGAGCGUUGGCUGAACUAGAGUCUUGCCCUUGCUGGCGUGGGUUUGAAUCCCACCGAGGCCG
rnacentral:tRNA from 1 species